UACGGGGGGGGCAAGCGUUGUUCGGAAUUACUGGGCGUAAAGGGCUCGUAGGCGGCCAACUAAGUCAGACGUGAAAUCCCUCGGCUCAACCGGGGAACUGCGUCUGAGACUGAUGAGCUCGAGUGCAGGAGAGGAACGCGGAAUUCCAGGUGUAGCGGUGAAAUGCGUAGAUAUCUGGAGGAACACCGGUGGCGAAGGCGGCGUUCUGGACUGCAACUGACACUGAGGAACGAAAGCCAGGGGAGCAAACGGG
rnacentral:rRNA from 1 species